rnacentral:rRNA from 1 species
CCGCUGGCGGCGUGCUACACAUGCAGUCGAACGAGAAAGGGGCUUCGGCCCUGAGUAAGUGGCGCACGGGUGAGUAACACGUAGGUAACCUGCCUCUGAGAUUGGGAUAACUCGUCGAAAGAUGGGCUAAUACCAAAUAAGACCACGAAUUCUUUGGGAUCUGAGGUCAAAGGUAGCCUCUAUUUAUAAGCUAUCGCUUAGAGAUGGGCCUGCGCACCAUUAGCUAGUUGGUAGGGUAACGGCCUACCAAGGCAAAGAUGGUUAGCUGGUCUGAGAGGAUGAUCAGCCACACUGGAACUGAGACACGGUCCAGACUCCUACGGGAGGCAGCAGUGGGGAAUAUUGCGCAAUGG